rnacentral:rRNA from 1 species
UGCAAGUCGAGGGGAAACGGCAUCAAGCGCUUGCGCCUGAUGGACGUCGACCGGCGCACGGGUGAGUAACGCGUAUCCAACCUGCCCCACACUAAGGGAUAACCCGCAGAAAUGUGGACUAAUACCUUAUAUUUUCCACCAAGGGCAUCGUCGAUGGAACAAAGAUUUAUCGGUAUGGGAUGGGGAUGCGUCCGAUUAGGUUGUUGGCGGGGUAACGGCCCACCAAGCCUUCGAUCGGUAGGGGUUCUGAGAGGAAGGUCCCCCACAUAGGAACUGAGACACGGUCCUAACUCCUACGGGAGGCAGCAGUGAGGAAUAUUGGUCAAUGGGCGUGAGCCUGAACCAGCCAAGUAGCGUGCAGGAAGACGGCCCUAUGGGUUGUAAACUGCUUUUAUGCGGGGAUAAAGGAGUCCACGUGUGGAUUUUUGCAGGUACCGCAUGAAUAAGGACCGGCUAAUUCCGUGCCAGCAGCCGCGGUAAUACGGAAGAUCCGGGCGUUAUCCGGAUUUAUUGGGUUUAAAGGGAGCGUAGGCCGCGUUUUAAGCGUGUUGUGAAAUGUAGACGCCCAACGUCUGCAUCGCAGCGCGAACUGGGACGCUUGAGUACGCGCAACGUUGGCGGAAUUCGUCGUGUAGCGGUGAAAUGCUUAGAUAUGACGAGGAACUCCGAUUGCGAAGGCAGCUGACGGGAGCGGCACUGACGCUUAAGCUCGAAGGUGCGGGUAUCAAACAGGAUUAGAUACCCUGGUAGUCCGCACAGUAAACGAUGGAUGCCCGCUGUGUGCCAUUUAUGGUACGCGGCUAAGCGAAAGCGUUAAGCAUCCCACCUGGGGAGUACGCCGGCAACGGUGAAACUCAAAGGAAUUGACGGGG